rnacentral:tRNA from 2 species
CGAGGUGUAGCUCAGCUUGGUAGAGCGCUGCGUUCGGGACGCAGAGGCCGCAAGUUCAAGUCUUGUCACCUCGA